GAUGAACGCUGGCGGCGUGCCUAAUACAUGCAAGUCGAGCGAACGGACGAGAAGCUUGCUUCUCUGAUGUUAGCGGCGGACGGGUGAGUAACACGUGGAUAACCUACCUAUAAGACUGGGAUAACUUCGGGAAACCGUAGCUAAUACCGGAUAAUAUUUUGAACCGCAUGGUUCAAAAGUGAAAGACGGUCUUGCUGUCACGUAUAGAUGGAUCCGCGCUGCAUUAGCUAGUUGGUAAGGUAACGGCUUACCAAGGCAACGAUGCAUAGCCGACCUGAGAGGGUGAUCGGCCACACUGGAACUGAGCCACGGUCCAGCCUCCUACGGGAGGCAGCAGUAGGGAAUCUUCCGCAAUGGGCGAAAGCCUGACGGAGCAACGCCGCGUGAGUGAUGACGGUCUUCGGAUCGUAAAACUCUGUUAUUAGGGAAGAACAUAUGUGUAAGUAACUGUGCACAUCUUGACGGUACCUAAUCAGAAAGCCACGGCUAACUACGUG
rnacentral:rRNA from 1 species